UAAGUACCCCCUCUGUCCGGAAAUACUCGUCGAAGAAAUAGAUGUAUCUAGAUGUAUUUUAGUUCUAAAAUAUAUCCAUUUUGUCUAUUUUUGUGACAAGUAAUUCCGAACAGAGGGAGUAGUUG
rfam:Triticum aestivum genome assembly, contig: Triticum_aestivum_CS42_TGACv1_scaffold_593539_7BS